UUUUCAAAAUCCUCCACCUUGGCUACCACCGCGUGUGGCGGUGCGUGGGACCGUCCACGAGUGUUAUCUAAGUACUACAUACCUUCUAGUGGCCCUAUAAACCUAUGUCUAGCUCGGUUUCCCGAAAUUCAAUUGUUUGAUAUGGUGAUCAAAUUGGACCACCACUUGUUUGUAUGAUUGACGACAACAAUUUUGUGAACACCUUAGUUAUCAGUUGUUAGACCUUUGAGAACUUACGGAUCUGAAAUCCGAUGUGCAGAUCUUCCGAUUUGAAUAACCUUAGAUUGUUGAUCUUAAUGGACCGACCUUAUCGACG
rnacentral:lncRNA from 1 species